GGUGGGAUCGCAUAGCGGUCGAGUGCGUCUGCUUGGAGAGCAGAUAGGCCUUAAUGGGUCUCCAGGGUUCGAAUCCCUGUCCCACCGCCA
rnacentral:tRNA from 3 species